UGGUAAUGCCGGAUGCUCCAGCUGAUCGCAUGGUCUUCUGGGAAAGCCUUUGCGGCAUGGGAUGGGGUCGCGUCCUAUCAGCUUGAUGGCGGGGUAACGGCCCACCAUGGCUUCGACGGGUAGCCGGCCUGAGAGGGCGACCGGCCACAUUGGGACUGAGAUACGGCCCAGACUCCUACGGGAGGCAGCAGUGGGGAAUAUUGCACAAUGGGCGCAAGCCUGAUGCAGCGACGCCGCGUGAGGGAUGGAGGCCUUCGGGUUGUAAACCUCUUUUGUUAGGGAGCAAGGCAUUUUGUGUUGAGUGUACCUUUCGAAUAAGCACCGGCUAACUACGUGCCAGCAGCCGCGGUAAUACGUAGGGUGCAAGCGUUAUCCGGAAUUAUUGGGCGUAAAGGGCUCGUAGGCGGUUCGUCGCGUCCGGUGUGAAAGUCCAUCGCUUAACGGUGGAUCCGCGCCGGGUACGGGCGGGCUUGAGUGCGGUAGGGGAGACUGGAAUUCCCGGUGUAACGGUGGAAUGUGUAGAUAUC
rnacentral:rRNA from 1 species